rnacentral:rRNA from 1 species
AUUGAACGCUGGCGGCAGGCCUAACACAUGCAAGUCGAACGAGUGGCGGACGGGUGAGUAAUGUCUGGGAAACUGCCUGAUGGAGGGGGAUAACUACUGGAAACGGUAGCUAAUACCGCAUACCAUCGGAUGUGCCCAGAUGGGAUUAGCUAGUAGGUGGGGUAACGGCUCACCAAGGCGACGAUCCCUAGCUGGUCUGAGAGGCUGAACGGCCACACUGGAACUGAGACACGGUCCAGACUCCUACGGGAGGCAGCAGUGGGGAAUAUUGCACAAUGGGCGCAAGCCUGAGGCAGCCAUGCCGCGUGUAUGAAGAAGGCUUUCGGGUUGUAAAGUACUUUCGGCGGGGAGGCGUUACCCGAAGAGGAAGCCCCGGCUAACUCCGUGCCAGCAGCCGCGGUAAUUC